rnacentral:rRNA from 1 species
ACGCUCGACACCUACGGGGGCAGCAGUGGGGAAUAUUGCACAAUGGGGGAAACCCUGAUGCAGCGACGCCGCGUGGAGGAAGAAGGUCUUCGGAUUGUAAACUCCUGUUGUUGGGGAAAAAGAGGAUGGUACCCAACAAGGAAGUGACGGCUAACUACGUGCCUAGCAGCCGCGGUAAUCUGAGGCGGGCUGGCAAGGC